CCCCUUUAUUUCUUCUCUCUCCUUCUCUCUUCCAUUUCCUUUUCCUUCUCUUCUACCCGUCUCCUUCCCUCUUUUUCUUCCACCCGACCUCCUUUGUUCCAGCUCCCUCUAUCCUUCUCUGUCUCUCCAUCCCUCCAUGGAUCGUCAAUCUAGUAAACUCCUACUCAGUUUGUAAAGACAGUCUCUGCUCUCAAGAUGUCUAGCUGGGAAGUCAGUCUUAACAUACAUGUUAAAAACCCCAUGUGACAGGGAGAGUAAUUAACAGCUCAGAAUAGUCAGGGCUCCUCAGAGGGACUAGGAAAAGUCAUCUCAUAGAAGGAGCCACUCUACAGGAGAGAGAAGAGGUACCCAGUGGAGUGAGCCCUGCAGAGGCAAAAAGGUCGCUCCAGGGCACCAGGACAAAUAAGAACCUUUGGGACUACUCUGAACAACAGCUCCUGUGUCUCAAGAUGGCAUGACCUCAGGUUUCAAGGUCACAAGGCCAUCUCCUCCUUGUCCCU
rnacentral:lncRNA from 1 species